UAGAUCAAGAUUAUUUUCACGAUUCAAUUACUUUUGUCAUUGAAAAUUACCAACACUUACAAUGUUUGUGAUGGUUUUCCGCAAUUCUUUCGACAUUUAGAUGAAGUAUAAGGUCCUCUAUAGUUGCAUGAGUCUGUGCAACCGGCAUUUGAAGAGACAUAUGUAGGCCAGUAUCGCCCAAUGCUUUGUCCGUUUACCCAAGCCUCGCCUUUUCCCAUCCCCGUGAAGUCAAUUGCAACUGGAUUGCUGCCGGACGGAGCAUCGAAGUUUGUCUAAUGCAACAUGUACUACAUUGUAUGAAAGUUGAAGGAAUGCAUACCGUACUCAUCGAUUGGUGCAUCAUAAUCAUAACUUGUAGCAAUGAACGGUCCACCAGAAGUUCUGUCAAAGUUGGUCCCUCCAUGGUACUGUUUUUGAGCAAGCAAUUAAAGAAUGAUAUAGUAUCAUGUAGUAUGAUGUACAGUUGAAAUUGAAAAAAACAUUAGUUCAGGUUGCAAUACCAUAUAGUAAUUUUGAAAUGUUCCGCCUCGU